rnacentral:rRNA from 1 species
GAUACCCUAUUAUAAUAAUAAAAUUAAUUUAAUAAUUAAAUUUAAGAUAUUAAAUGUUAUAUCAUUAAAUUUAAAAGAUUUGGCGGUAUUUUAUAUAAUUAGAGGAACCUGUGUAUGAAUUGAUGAUCCACGAUAAGAUUUACUUAAUUUAUAUAUAUAUAUAUAUAUAUUAUUUAUUUAUGUAUUGCUGUUUUUAAAUUAUUAUUAAUUAAAUUUUUUUUAAGUUAAAUAUAAUUUAAUUCAAGUCAAAAUAUAGUAUAAUUAAGAUUAUAUGGGUUACAUUUUUUUAAAAAUAAUUAUUGAUAAAUUAAUAUUUAAUUUAAUUUUGAGAUUGGAUUUAAUAGUAAAUUUAAUAAAUUAAUUAUUUUGAAAUUUAAAUAAAAUAAGUACAAAUUGCCCGUCACUUUCAAUAAAAUGAAAUAA